UGGGGAAUUGUUCACAAUGGGCGCAAGCCUGAUGACGCAACGCCGCGUGGAGGAUGAAGGUCUUCGGAUUGUAAACUCCUGUUGCUCGGGACGAAAAGCUCUGACCUAACACGUCAGAGUCUGACGGUACCGAGUGAGGAAGCCCCGGCUAACUCUGUGCCAGCAGCCGCGGUAAUACAGAGGGGGCAAGCGUUGUUCGGAAUUACUGGGCGUAAAGGGCGCGUAGGCGGCCAUCUAAGUCAGACGUGAAAUCCCCGGGCUCAACCCGGGAACUGCGUCUGAUACUGGAGGGCUUGAAUCCGGGAGAGGGAUGCGGAAUUCCAGGUGUAGCGGUGAAAUGCGUAGAUAUCUGGAGGAACACCGGUGGCGAAGGCGGCAUCCUGGACCGGUAUUGACGCUGAGGCGCGAAAGCCAGGGGAGCAAACGGGAUUAGAUACCCCUGUAGUCCCUGAGCGGGCUGGCAAGGCGCAU
rnacentral:rRNA from 1 species